rnacentral:lncRNA from 1 species
CAUGGAAAUCGACUCCUGUUUUGUGAAACUGAUUAUCGGUAAAAAUUACUGUUGUACUUCAAGAUAUAAAAACUGCAGAAUUAUCGCAAGUGAUCUGCGGCAUAUCGUAUUUAUCAAUCGAAUAGUGAUAAUUACCGUCAAAAACUUACGUAAGUGUCAAUAUCAGUCAUUCAUGAUCAUAACCCAGUUAACGAGAGUAAGUUACAUAAGUAAACGCCAUACGAUAUUACAGGGGAUAUGUUACUGCUUAGAAAUUGGAAAGUUCCAAACCUCACGUUUUUCAUAGAUUGUCAUAGAUUGUAGUCUGAAGUGGUUCAUCCCUGCCAAAAUCAAGUAAGAGGUUAAUAUAUGAAGUAGACCUCCCCCCCCCC